rnacentral:rRNA from 1 species
UCGCUCCCCUAGCUUUCGCGCCUCAGCGUCAGUAGUCGGCCCAGCAACCCGCCUUCGCCGCAGGUGUUCCUCUCGAUAUCUACGCAUUUCACCGCUACACCGAGAAUUCCAGUUGCCCCUUCCGCACUCUAGCACGACAGUAUCACUUGGCCGUUCCGAGUUGAGCCCGGAGAUUUCACAAGUGACUUGUCGCGCCGCCUACGCGCCCUUUACGCCCAG